rnacentral:rRNA from 1 species
GACGAACGCUGGCGGCGUGCUUAACACAUGCAAGUCGAACGGAAAGGCCUCUUUCGGUGGGUACUCGAGUGGCGAACGGGUGAGUAACACGUGAGUAACCUGCCCUUGACUUUGGGAUAACUUCAGGAAACUGGGGCUAAUACCGGAUAGGAGCUCCUGCUGCAUGGUGGGGGUUGGAAAGUUUCGGCGGGUGGGGAUGGACUCGCGGCUUAUCAGCUUGUUGGUGGGGUAGUGGCUUACCAAGGCUUUGACGGGUAGCCGGCCUGAGAGGGUGACCGGCCACAUUGGGACUGAGAUACGGCCCAGACUCCUACGGGAGGGAGAAGUGGGGAAGAUUGAACAAUGGGUGGAAGCCUGAUGCAGCAACGCCGUGUGCGGGAUGACGGCCUUCGGGUUGUAAACCGCUUUCGCUCAUGACGAAGCUUUGUGUGACGGUAGUGGGUAAAGAAGCACCGGCUAACUACGUG